GAUGAACGCUAGCUACAGGCUUAACACAUGCAAGUCGAGGGGAAACGGCAUUGAGUGCUUGCACUCUUUGGACGUCGACCGGCGCACGGGUGAGUAACGCGUAUCCAACCUUCCCAUUACUGUGGGAUAACCUGCCGAAAGGCAGACUAAUACCGCAUAGUCUUCGAUGACGGCAUCAGAUUUGAAGUAAAGAUUUAUCGGUAAUGGAUGGGGAUGCGUCUGAUUAGCUUGUUGGCGGGGUAACGGCCCACCAAGGCGACGAUCAGUAGGGGUUCUGAGAGGAAGGUCCCCCACAUUGGAACUGAGACACGGUCCAAACUCCUACGGGAGGCAGCAGUGAGGAAUAUUGGUCAAUGGACGGAAGUCUGAACCAGCCAAGUAGCGUGCAGGAUGACGGCCCUAUGGGUUGUAAACUGCUUUUGUAUGGGGAUAAAGUUAGGGACGUGUCCCUAUUUGCAGGUACCAUACGAAUAAGGACCGGCUGAUUCCGUG
rnacentral:rRNA from 1 species